CAGAGGAUUAGCAGAACGGAGUCGCCGGAGCCAAACGCAGACGAGAGGCCCACGGAAGAGGUUCCAGCAUGCCCAGAAGAAUGAUUGUAUAAAUCCUAGCUACAGGUGACAUCAGCUAUUAAAUUGUACACAUAGCACAGAAGCAUUAGCAUGAAAUGCCAACGUCAGGCCAGGUGAUUGAAAGCAAAAUUCCAGAUUUGAAGAGCCACGCGAAGCCGCUGUGAACAAAAGGAGGACCAACGGAAGAGCAGGUGAGCAGAUCAGUAAUGACUUUUGUAGACUGUAUUGCACAUCAUCUGAGGGAAAGGGAGCAAACCCCAAAGGUUAAAACAGUUGUUUGGGAAAAUCACGGAACACUAGCAGUCGGAAUGAAAGUUGGUGUCUAAAACUAUUCUACACCUGUGUAUUCUUUUAAAAAUAGUUUUUUUGAUCAUCUACCAUUUUUUUUUUAUUUUUUUUUGUUUAACAUUUAUUUAUUUAUUUUUGGGACAGAGAGAGAC